rnacentral:misc_RNA from 1 species
UAUCCGUAGGUGAACCUGCGGAAGGAUCAUUCAUAAUAAAGUGUUUUAUGGCACUUUUUAAAAAUCCAUAUCCACCUUGUGUGCAAUGUUAGAUCUCGUCAAUCUUGGCGAGAUUUUUAUACAUCAACUCAUUUUUUAACUAAUUUGUCUGAAAAAUAUUAUGAAUACUUAAUUCAAAAUACAACUUUCAACAACGGAUCUCUUGGCUCUC